rnacentral:rRNA from 1 species
UAGGGAAUCUUCCACAAUGGACGAAAGUACUGAUGGAGCAACGCCGCGUGAGUGAAGAAGGGUUUCGGCUCGUAAAACUCUGUUGUUAAAGAAGAACAUAUCUGAGAGUAACUGUUCAGGUAUUGACGGUAUUUAACCAGGAAGCCACGGCUAACUACGUGCCAG